rnacentral:rRNA from 1 species
UACGAAGGGGGCUAGCGUUGCUCGGAAUCACUGGGCGUAAAGGGUGCGUAGGCGGGUCUUUAAGUCAGGGGUGAAAUCCUGGAGCUCAACUCCAGAACUGCCUUUGAUACUGAAGAUCUUGAGUUCGGGAGAGGUGAGUGGAACUGCGAGUGUAGAGGUGAAAUUCGUAGAUAUUGCAAGAACACCAGUGGCGAAGGCGGAGCUCACC